AAACCUGAGGCAGCAUGACCCAGGUCCAGCCAUGAAGUUGAAAACGAUGCUCUUGAAUAUAGUAAACUUGAAGACCUCCAACUAAAAAUCCUUAGACUGCACUUAUUCCUUCAAAUGUUUUGUCGGUUCAACUUAUGGAUUUAACGUGGCAGUGCUCCAUUGGAAAAGAAUGAGAAUCCAUAAGCCAUGCAACUUAACCAUUUAAGCCAUUCCAGUCCAUCCCAAGCCAGUGAACCUUCCACCAAUUAAGAGAAGUAGUAGAACAUGAAAUAUGCAUUUAAGCUGCAAGUCUGAACUAGCCUGAUCUUUCUGGAAGGGGCGGGCAGUUAUAGGCAAGUGUUCAAGAACUUCCUUGAGAGAAAUAACUAGUUUUCUUUUAUGUAAUUUUUGCAGGUUGAACCUAAUGGUCAUACAGUCAUGGAGUGCUGAUUGAUUCACAGUAGAUAAAGCUGGCAGUAAGAGACAGUCAAAUGAUCAGAGUUGUCUUUGAAGCAGAGGAAUGCUGAGACUAAGCCACAGCACUUACUGACCCAGUACUCAUCAGAAUUGGUUUGGUACAGGCAAUAGAUUUUUUUGUCUUCAAGGGAGGGAGGCUGGUUAAACCUUAAUUCAAAUUAACCCAUUAGAAAAAGGGAGACUAGUCGGUAAGUGGAAGUACCUGUCCAAGACGUUCGGGUGACUUUUUAUAGACAGUUCAGUAGUUCGGACAAACUGAUGGGGCAGCUGGGCAAUUUAGACUGCUCAAUGACUAGAAGAAAAUUGAAUUAGCUGCGACUGUAACUCCAUGGUGGAGUGCUUGCCUAAGUACCAGUGAGGACUAGAGUUCAACCCCUGGCGGCACACAGACACAUUUCAAUCAGAAAAGUUAUACCUCAGUGGUAACUUUAUUCACUGAUGUCUGAUUUUCAGCAAGGAACCCAUUUGAAUUGCCUCAUAAGGAAGAAAUAUUAUUAGUCGUCCUGUAAAACUUAGGGGAAGAGCAAUGCUAGGAAAUGAAAGUAAAAACUAGAAACAUUAUUAGGCCACUGGAGUGCACGUUGGAAACAAAAAUAGGUCACUAGGUCGCUGUCGUUUUUAUAAAGGUACUUUACCCUCAGGUCUCCAUCUCGGAAACUAAUCAUGAUAGUUUACUGCUUUGGAAACUAAGAGCCAG
ensembl:lncRNA